rnacentral:rRNA from 1 species
GACGAACCACACAAACGUUAUUCGGAAUUACUGGGCUUAAAGGGUGCGUAGGCGGCGUGGAAAGUUGGGUGUGAAAUCCCUCAGCUUAACUGAGGAACAGCGCCCAAAACUACCAUGCUCGAGGGAGAUAGAGGAAUGCGGAACUUAGGGUGGAGCGGUGAAAUGCGUUGAUAUCCUAGGGAACACCGGUGGCGAAAGCGGCAUUCUGGAUCUCUUCUGACGCUGAGGCACGAAAGCCAGGGUAGCAAACGGG